CCGACAUAUUACUGACUUCCGAGUCCGACAUUAUGUGUAUUAUAAUUAU
rnacentral:sRNA from 1 species